UGGGGAAUCUUGCGCAAUGGGCGAAAGCCUGACGCAGCCACGCCGCGUGCAGGAAGACACCCCUACGGGGCGUAAACUGCUUUUCUGCAAGAAGAAGGCGCUGGUCUCCAGCGUUUGACGGUACUGCAGGAAUAAGCACCGGCUAACUCCGUGCCAGCAGCCGCGGUAAUACGGAGGGUGCAAGCGUUGUCCGAAAUUACUGGGUGUAAAGGGUGUGCAGGCGGGGCAGUAAGUCAGAGGUGAAAGCCUGCGGCUCAACCGUAGAAGCGCCUUUGAUACUGCUGCUCUUGAGUCCCGGAGAGGUCGCUGGAAUUCGUGGUGUAGCGGUGAAAUGCGUAGAUAUCACGAGGAACACCAGAAGCGAAGGCGGGCGACUGGACGGGUACUGACGCUCAGGCACGAAAGCGUGGGGAGCAAACAGGAUUAGAUACCCCCGUAGUCC
rnacentral:rRNA from 1 species